UACGUAGGGUGCUAGCGUUGUCCGGAGUUACUGGGCGUAAAGCGCUUGUAGGCGGUCCACCAAGUUUGGGGUGACAGUUGCCGACUUAAUCGGCAAAGUGCCUCAAAGACUGGCGGACUUGAGGGCCACAGAGGGACAUGGAACUCCAGGUGUAGUGGUGAAAUGCGUAGAUAUCUGGAAGAACACCAAAGGCGAAGGCAGUGUCCUGGGUGGUCGCUGACGCUGAGAGGCGAAAGCCAGGGGAGCGAACGGG
rnacentral:rRNA from 1 species